rnacentral:rRNA from 1 species
AGCGAACGCUGGCGGCAGGCCUAACACAUGCAAGUCGAACGAACCUUUCGGGGUUAGUGGCGGACGGGUGAGUAACACGUGGGAACGUGCCUUUAGGUUCGGAAUAACUCAGGGAAACUUGUGCUAAUACCGAAUGUGCCCUUCGGGGGAAAGAUUUAUCGCCUUUAGAGCGGCCCGCGUCUGAUUAGCUAGUUGGUUGAGGUAAUGGCUCACCAAGGCGACGAUCAGUAGUUGGUCUGAGAGGAUGAUCAGCCACAUUGGGACUGAGACACGGCCCAAACUCCUACGGGAGGCAGCAGUGGGGAAUCUUGCGCAAUGGGCGAAAGCCUGACGCAGCCAUGCCGCGUGAAUGAUGAAGGUCUUAGGAUUGUAAAAUUCUUUCACCGGGGACGAUAAUGACGGUACCCGGAGAAGAAGCCCCGGCUAACUUCGUG